rnacentral:rRNA from 1 species
AGUGAACGCUGGCGGUAGGCCUAACACAUGCAAGUCGAACGGCAGCACAGGAGAGCUUGCUCUCUGGGUGGCGAGUGGCGGACGGGUGAGGAAUACAUCGGAAUCUACUUUUUCGUGGGGGAUAACGUAGGGAAACUUACGCUAAUACCGCAUACGACCUACGGGUGAAAGCAGGGGAUCUUCGGACCUUGCGCGAUUGAAUGAGCCGAUGUCGGAUUAGCUAGUUGGCGGGGUAAAGGCCAACCAAGGCGACGAUCCGUAGCUGGUCUGAGAGGAUGAUCAGCCACACUGGAACUGAGACACGGUCCAGACUCCUACGGGAGGCAGCAGUGGGGAAUAUUGGACAAUGGGCGCAAGCCUGAUCCAGCCAUACCGCGUGGGUGAAGAAGGCCUUCGGGUUGUAAAGCCCUUUUGUUGGGAAAGAAAUCCAGCUGGCUAAUACCCGGUUGGGAUGACGGUACCCAAAGAAUAAGCACCGGCUAACUUCGUGCCAGCAGCCGCCGCAG